AAAUCCCGCCGCCAUCGUCCAUCCUGCCACCCCCUCCAUAGAUCUGCCUGCCUCAAUAAUCCCGCCGCCACCUCCAUCGUGUCGCGCCCCUCCAUCACGCUGCCCCCUUUGGUGUCAUUUGCCUGUGGAAUCGUGAUUUCCCUUCCUGUUUUUUGGUAAACUUUGGGGGAAUUUCUGUUCGUAGGAUUUGAGUGUGAUUGAAGAAAUUUUCCUUGGGGGAAUUCAUGCUGGAGCAUCACUGAACUCGUCUAUGGCUAUUCCCUAGCGAUUUCCUCUCUCAAAUUUGUGUUUAUCUUGGAGCAUUGAUUUAACAUUUUUGUUCUUUCUUAUCUGCAGGAUUUAAAGGUUGUUCUAGGUCCUUGCAGGAUUAAGCCUAACAAAACAGAGAUUUGUGAUUAAAAGUUGGUUCAAGGUUCUUGCAAUAUUAAGCCUAGCAAAACAGAUUCGUGGGCAGCAAGGAAAGGAAGGUGUUGUAGUUCAGAAAAUCCAAAAACAACUAGGAGAUUGUCGAGCUCUAGUGUAAGGUAAGUUCAACUAAUUUACCUUGUUUCCGGUUCAAUUGUGUGUUUGUUCAUUAUCUUUGAGUGUAUGCAGCAAAGUUUUUAUGCUUGUUAUAUGUUCUUAGAAGCUCUAUCAUAUCCGUAAUAACACACAUGGAUAAAUCGUGGAUCGACAAUGUGGCUAGGUACAAUACAACUUUUUUUCACAAUAACUAAAAAAAUGUGCUACGUGGUUAUCUUGAUAUUUAACAUAGAAAUUGCAUGUAGGGAGACAAAGGCCUAUACACAAGGGGUGAAUAGUUUUCUAGCUUUUGCAUUAAAAAAUUCAGCGGUAGGAAGCAAGAUUUUAUGCCCUUGUAGGAAGUGUGUCAACUCAUUUUGGCGGGAGGCUAUUGAAGUUCGAGAACACUUGAUUUGUGAUGGAUUUUUAAAAGGGUAUAGAACAUGGACCUUACAUGGAGAAGCUAGUUCCUCUGUAUUGAACAAUGAAAAUGGUGAUGUCCCUGAGUUCAUUGAGGUGCAUGACGAAGAAGAUGACAUAUCUGAGUUGAUUAAGGAUUUAGCAUGUGGUUUAGAUGAUAGAGGAGAUAUGGAAGAUGAUGGGUCUUUUGAUCCAUUUGAUAAAGAUGUAGCUACCAUUCGUAGGCUAGCAGCAGACAACAGUCAAGAAUUGUACCCAGGUUGCAAUAAGUACUCAAAGCUACGCUUUCUAGUUCGUUUACUUCACAUAAAACUUCUUGGAGGAUGGACGGAUAGAAGUUUUAAUUUGUUGGUUGAUCUACUUGUUGAUGCGUUGCCUAAGGGUUCAGCACUUCCUAGAAACUUUCAUGAAGCUAAGAAAUUAGUGAAAUCAGUGGGAGUUGGGUACACUUCUAUCCAUGCAUGCGAGAACGAUUGCAUUCUUUACUGGAAGGAGCAUGAAAACUCUAAUUCAUGUCCGAAAUGUAAUGUUUCACGCU